GCCCAGGUGGCGGAAUGGGUAGACGCACUGGAUUUAGGUUCCNNUUCGAGUCCUCUCCUGGGCACCA
rnacentral:tRNA from 1 species